UUGCUUUGGCAGCACAUAUACUAAAAUUGGAAUGAUGCAGAGAAGGUUAGCAUGCCCCUGUGCAAGGAUGACUCUCAAAUUAGUGAAGUAUUCUGUAUUUAA